rnacentral:rRNA from 1 species
UACAGAGGCCCCAAGCGUUACGCGGUGUCACUGGGCUUAAAGGGUGCGUAGGCGGAGGCGCAAGUGCUUUGUGAAAUCCCACGGCUCAACCGUGGAAUUGCGGGGCAUACUGCGUCUCUUGAGGCCGGUAAGGGUAGCUGGAACUGUAGGUGUAGCGGUGAAAUGCGUAGAUAUCUACAGGAACGCCGAUGGUGAAGACGAGCUACUGGGCCGGUUCUGACGCUGAGGCACGAAAGCGUGGGGAUCAAACAGG